AUGGCAUGGUGAGGAUACUUGUCGAUGAGAUCUUUGAGCCUCUCCCAAGUUUCAUGGAACAUUUUUCCCUCUAAUUGGAAAAAACUAGUUAUAUCUUUUUUAAUUU